UACGUAGUCCUGCAGUCGACGAUUCCUACGGGAGGCAGCAGUAGGGAAUCUUAGACAAUGGGGGCAACCCUGAUCUAGCCAUGCCGCGUGUGUGAUGAAGGCCCUAGGGUCGUAAAGCACUUUCGCCAGAGAUGAUAAUGACAGUAUCUGGUAAAGAAACCCCGGCUAACUCCGUGCCAGCAGCCGCGGUAAUACGGAGGGGGUUAGCGUUGUUCGGAAUUACUGGGCGUAAAGCGCACGUAGGCGGAUUAGUAAGUUAGAGGUGAAAUCCCAGGGCUCAACCCUGGAACUGCCUUUAAUACUGCUAGUCUUGAGUUCGAGAGAGGUAAGUGGAAUUCCGAGUGUAGAGGUGAAAUUCGUAGAUAUUCGGAGGAACACCAGUGGCGAAGGCGGCUUACUGGCUCGAUACUGACGCUGAGGUGCGAAAGUGUGGGGAGCAAACAGGAUUAGAUACCCUGGUAGUCCACACCGUAAACGAUGAAUGCCAGACGUCAGCAAGUAUACUUGUUGGUGUCACACCUAACGGAUUAAGCAUUCCGCCUGGGGAGUACGGUCGCAAGAUUAAAACUCAAAGGAAUUGACGG
rnacentral:rRNA from 1 species